rfam:Oryza sativa Japonica Group DNA, chromosome 3, cultivar: Nipponbare, complete sequence.
AAAAAGACAAAUCCUAGGUUUCCGUGUCCAACGUUUAACUGUUCGUCUUAUAUGAAAUUAUUUUAUAAUUAGUAUUUUUAUUGUUGUUAGAUGAUAAAACAUGAUUAAUACUUUAUGUGUGACUUGUUUUUUUAAUUUUUUUCAUAUAAGACGGACGGUCAAACGUUGGAUAUGAAAACCUAAGUUUGUCUUUUUU